UGUUAGGAAGGGUCCCAGGAGGUAAACCCACACAGAUGGGAUUUGGGCAUAGGUUUGGUUUCCCAGGGGGCAGUGCUGAGCUCUUUGCCAGUGGGAAAUGGGAUGCUGGUGAUUUCCAGUAGGUGACCUCACAGUGACUCAAGCUACCACUUACUGUUGAUUGUGACGAAAUGCCAGCUGAGGCACAUGCCUUGGGAGCUAAGUGGUUGCUGCCCUUUACCACUGUGAAGACUGUUUUGGGAAGGGUCGCUUUGGAUGCACUUGAGCAGGGGUCCCCAACCCCUGAGCCAUGGAGCCGUAAGGAGCCACACAGCAGGAGGUGGGACCAUCCAGUUUCAGGAAAACAAGCUUAACACGCCCACUGAUUCGACAUUAUGCUCCUACCUCCCGGCAGCCUCUCCAGGCCCAGAACGUUCUCCAGUCAGUCUCUACAGACCAAGCUCAUGACUCACAAUGGCCUAUUUAGGCCCAUACCCUACGUCACGGCAGUCUCCGCAGAUGAGGCUACUGCCUCACAACAGCCUCCACAGGCACAGCUCCAUCAUUACAAUGGCCUCUUUAGACCCAGCUCCUGCCUCCCAGCCUUCUCUCCAGGCCCUGAACUUUCUCCGGUCUCCCUCUGUUGUCCAAGGCUGGAGUGUAGUAGCGCUAUCGCAGCUGACUGCAGCCUCAACCUUCCAGGCUGAAGCGAUCCUCCCACCUCAACCUCCCACGUGGCUGAGACUACAGGUGCUUGCCACUAUGCCCAACUAAUAUUUGGAAUUUUCGUAUACGUGGAUUCCAGAGGGGUGACAGCGUAACGUGGGACCAUCCAGUUUCAGGAAAACAAGCUUAACACGCCCACUGAUUCGACAUUAUGCUCCUACCUCCCGGCAGCCUCUCCAGGCCCAGAACUUUCUCCAGUCAACCUCUACAGACCAAGCUCAUGACUCACAAUGGCCUAUUUAGGCCCAUACCCUACGUCACGGCAGUCUCCGCAGAUGAGGCUGCUGCCUCACAACAGCCUCCACAGGCACAGCUCCAUCGGAUAUUGGAUAUAUCCAAUAUCCACAGCCCACAGCUUCCUCAAGCCAAGCUCCCCAGGCCCAGGUCAGGCCUCACGGUGGCCUCUCCAGGAUGAGCUCCUGCCCUCCGAUGGCACCUGCAGGCCCCAAAUGGUCUCCGGUCGGUGGGCUCCUCCACGCCAAGCUUGGGCCUCCCGGCGACCUCUGCAGGCCCAAGUUGUCCUGAAGUUGGCAUCUCCCGGCCGUGCCUCUCAGCAAGUAAGCAAGCUCUUUUGGCUCAACUCCUGCCCAGCUCCCAACCGCCUUUGUGGGCCCCGAACUUUCUCCAGCCAAGUUCUUCGGGCCUAAUUCCUGCCGCCCGGUGGCCUGUACGGGCCCAGCAAUGGUUGGAGAACAGCCUAUGCAGGUCCCGCUCUUGCCUCCCAGGGGCCUCUCCAGGCCCAGCUCUUGACCCCACGGCAGCCUCUCAGGGCCAAGUCCCUGCCUGCCUCCCAGCAGCCCGUGUGCGGCCCAGCUCCUCCCUCACGGUGGCCUGUUGAUGCCCAUGCCUCUGGUACCCUGCCCAGAGGCAUGAGCCCCUGCCUCACACCGGCCCCUCCCACGCUGAGAGAGGUCAGCGUGAGCCCUUGCCUCACACCGGCCCCUCCCAUGCUGAGAGAGGUCAGAGUGAGCCCCAUGCCUCACACCGGCCCCUCCCAUGCUGAGAGAGGUCAGCGUGAGCCCUUGCCUCACACCGGCCCCUCCCACGCUGAGAGAGGUCAGCGUGAACCCCUUGCCUCACACCGGCCCCUCCCACGCUGAGAGAGGUCGUGAGCCCUUGCCUCACACCAGCCCCUCCCAUGCUGAGAGAGGUCAGAGUGAGCCCCAUGCCUCACACCGGCCCUUCCCACGCUGAGAGACGUCAGCGUGAGCCCUUGGCUCAUACCUGCCCCUCCCACGCUGAGAGAGGUCAGCGUGAGCCCUUGCCUCACACCGGCCCCUCCCACGCUGAGAGAAGUCAGAGUAAGCCCCAUGCCUCACACCGGCCCCUCCCAGGCUGAGAGAGGUCAGCGUGAGCCCUUGCCUCACACCGGCCCCUCCCAUGAUGAGAGAGGUCAGCGUGAGCCCCUUGCCUCACACCGGCCCCUCCCACGCUGAGAGAGGACAGCGUGAGCCCCUUGCCUCACACCGGCCCCUCCCACGCUGAGAGAGGUCAGCGUGAGCCCUUGCCUCACACCGGCCCCUCCCACGCUGAGAGAGGUCAGCGUGAGCCCUUGCCUCACACCGGCCCCUCCCACGCUGAGAGAGGUCAGCGUGAGCCCUUGCCUCACACCGGCCCCUCCCACGCUGAGAGAGGUCAGCGUGAGCCCUUGCCUCACACCGGCCCCUCCCACACUGAGAGAGGUCAGAGUGAGCCCCAUGCCUCACACCGGCCCCUCCCACGCUGAGAGAGGUCAGCGUGAGCCCUUGCCUCACACCGGCCCCUCCCACGCUGAGAGAGGUCAGCGUGAGCCCCUUGCCUCACACCGGCCCCUCCCACGCUGAGAGAGGUCAUGAGCCCUUGCCUCACACCGGCCCCUCCUGCGCUGAGAGAGGUCAGAGUGAGCCCCAUGCCUCACACCGGCCCCUCCCUCGCUGAGAGAGGUCAGCCUGAGCCCCUUGCAUCACACCGGCCCCUCCCAUGCUGAGAGAGGUCAGCGUGAGCCCUUGCCUCACACCGGCCCCUCCGACGCUGAGAGAGGUCAGCGUGAGCCCCUUGCCUCACACCGGCCCCUCCCACGCUGAGAGAGGUCAGCGUGAGCCCUUGCCUCACACCGGCCCCUCCCACGCUGAGAGAGGUCAGCGUGAGCCCCUUGCCUCACACCGGCCCCUCCCACGCUGAGAGAGGUCAGCGUGAGCCCUUGCCUCACACCGGCCCCUCCGACGCUGAGAGAGGUCAGCGUGAGCCCCUUGCCUCACACCGGCCCCUCCCACGCUGAGAGAGGUCAGCGUGAGCCCUUGCCUCACACCGGCCCCUCCCACGCUGAGAGAGGUCAGCGUGAGCCCUUGCCUCACACCGGCCCCUCCCACGCUGAGAGAGGUCAGUGUGAGCCCUUGCCUCACACCGGCCCCUCCCACGCUGAGAGAGGUCAGCGUGAGCCCCUUGCCUCACACCGGCCCCUCCCACGCUGAGAGAGGUCAACGUGAGCCCUUGCCUCACACCGGCCCCUCCCACGCUGAGAGAGGUCAGCGUGAGCCCCUUGCCUCACACCGGCCCCUCCCACGCUGAGAGAGGUCAGUGUGAGCCCUUGCCUCACACCGGCCCCUCCCACGCUGAGAGAGGUCAGCAUGAGCCCCUUGCCUCACACCGGCCCCUCCCAUGCUGAGAGAGGUCAGUGUGAGCCCUUGCCUCACACCGGCCCCUCCCACGCUGAGAGAGGUCAGCGUGAGCCCCUUGCCUCACACCGGCCCCUCCCACGCUGAGAGAGGUCAGCGUGAGCCCUUGCCUCACACCGGCCCCUCCCAUGCUGAGAGAGGUCAGCGUGAGCCCCUUGCCUCACACCGGCCCCUCCCACGCUGAGAGAGGUCAGUGUGAGCCCUUGCCUCACACCGGCCCCUCCCAUGCUGAGAGAGGUCAGCGUGAGCCCCUGCCUCAACAGGCCACCGUGAGGGAGG